rnacentral:lncRNA from 1 species
GAGAAGCAAAGCCUCACAGCGCUUCAAGCCACCUCCCACAGUACAUAAUGUGAAAGCAUGUUAGGCCCAGAGCUCAGACGUGGGAGUCUGCGAGAGAAUGGCAGCUCCAAGAUGAAGGCAGGAAUGUGAGAUGCCAGCUCCUUCAGGAUUGAACAGCUUUAUAUAAACUAACAGAGAGGGCAAGUUUAUGAAGUGGAGACAGGAUCUAAUUCUGUACUCAGGAGACGUGUCCUGGAGGACCAGCUCUGCUGCUGGUGGGGGCUGCUGUGCUUCUGCUGAGCUCAGUUGCUGCCACCUGACAGCAUCUGAAGAGCUGGUUGG